rnacentral:misc_RNA from 1 species
UACCGAGGGUCCAAGCGCUAAUCGGAAUUACUGGCCGUAAAGCGCACGCAGGCGGUCUGUAAAGUCGGAGGUGAAAUACCCGGGCUCAACCUGGGAACUGCAUCCGAAACUGGCAGGCUAGAGUCUUGCAGAGGGGGGUAGGAUUCCAGGUGUAGCGGUGAAAUGCGUAGAGAUCUGGAGGAAUACCGGUGGCGAAGGCGGCCCCCUGGACAAAGACUGACGCUCAGGUGCGAAAGCGUGGGGAGCAAACAGG